rnacentral:tmRNA from 1 species
GGGGGCGAAAGGAUUCGACCGGAUACGUUGAGGUAUAGGCGGCGUAUUGAGGUUGUCAGGCGGCCUCAUUAAAAACCUGGCAAAAUGAUUUAAAUGCCGAAUAUCCAAUGGCAAUGGCUGCUUAAGUGUAGCCACGUUUAAUUAACCUUACCUGCGAGAUUAAUUAAACGACAACGAGCAGGAUAGUUUAGUUCCUGUGCUCGGUGGGAACUAAGCGAACCUUUAAACGGAGCUAGUCAUGAGAAAUCCUGUCUAUUGGAGUUUUU